CAGCCGCCGCGGUAAAACGUAGGGUGCAAGCGUUAAUCGGAAUUACUGGGCGUAAAGCGUGCGUAGGUGGUGGUUUAAGUCCGUUGUGAAAGCCCUGGGCUCAACCUGGGAAUUGCAGUGGAUACUGGGUCACUAGAGUGUGGUAGAGGAUAGUGGAAUUUCCGGUGUAGCAGUGAAAUGCGUAGAGAUCGGAAGGAACAUCUGUGGCGAAGGCGACUAUCUGGGCCAACACUGACACUGAGGCACGAAAGCGUGGGGAGCAAACAGGAUUAGAUACCCCAGUAGUCCCUGUCUCUUAUAC
rnacentral:rRNA from 1 species